rnacentral:rRNA from 1 species
AAAAUAUUUAUAUAUUUAAAGUUUUAUUAAUUUCACAGAAAUGUUUUAAAUAAUUAUUCUAAUAUACCUUUUGCAUAAGUGUUAAACUAUAAAUAAUAAUAUUUUAUUUUCCCGAAGCAGGAAGAUCUAACUAUAUUGAGAUAUUAGACUAUUAUUUAAUGUGGCAUUAUUAAUGUAAAAAAUAUAGUUAGUAGCGAAAAACUUUCAGUUUCUGAGAUAUCUGGAUCCUAAAUAAAAGUAUUUAGUACUAUAGACAAUUAAGAAGUGUCGAGAUUUCUUAAUAUAAGAAUAAUUGUUUUUUUAUUGAUCUUUAGUGGUAAAACCUCUCAAUUUUUUUAAAUAAUAAUAUAAAUUUCAAAUAUUAUCUUUAUAAUUUCUAGGAACUUUUAAUAAUUUAUUUUUAAGUAUACAAUGUUUAAAUUAGUAAUAAAAAAAAUAUUUAAAAGGAACUCGGCAAAAAGAACCUUUACCUGUUUAUCAAAAACAUAGCCCAAAGAUUUAUUUUGGGUAAAUUCUGCCCAGCGUAAUUUAUUAGCGGCCGCAGUACUUUGACUGUGCUAAGGUAGCAUAAUCAAUUGGCUUUUAAUUGUAGUCUGGAAUGAAAGGACUAAUAGGGGUUAGCUGUCUCUAUACUAUUAUUUUGAAUUUAUUUAUUAAGUGAAAAUACUUAUACAAAGAAAAAAGACGAGAAGACCCUUAGAAUUUUAAUAAAAUAUUUAAUAAUUUUUUUUUGUUGGGGCGACAUUGAAACAAUUAAACUUUCAUUAACAAUCAAGACAUUUAGGUUUGAAAGAAUAAAUUACCUUAGGGAUAACAGCAUAAUUAAUUAUUUAGUUUGUGACCUCGAUGUUGGACUAGGAACUAGAAGAUUAACCGUCUAAAUAGAUUGUUCUGUUCGAACAGAAAUUCCUACAUGAUCUGAGUUCAGACCGGCGUAAGCCAGGUCAGUUUCUAUCUUUUCAGUUUAUAUUUUUAGUACGAAAGGACCAAAAUAUAUUU